AGAAACCCUGCCUCGAAAAACCAAAAAAAAAAAAAAAAAAAAAAAGAAUACUCUUAAAGAAAAAUUAUUUACUAUCCUAAUUUGUGCUGAUAUGUCAAAAGAAAAUAUCAUUUACUGUGAGUGAACUUAGUGAUUGGUACUAUUGUUAAUAAUUAGGCAAGAAAACAAAUUAUACUGUGGUAGAGUUUCUCUUGACAUUUUGUUCUGGGUAAUUCUUUGCUGUGUUGAUAGGUACAAUUCUGUACAUUCUAGAAUAUUUGGAAGUAUCCAACUUCUACUCUCUAGCUGCCAGUGAUAUCACCUAGUUCUAACAAUCACAGAAGUCUUCUUGCGGGCUGGGAGUGUAACUUAGUAAAGCACUUGCCUAAUGUGUACCAAGGCCCUGGAUUUGCUCACAGCAACACACACCUGCACACGCAGGUAUGCACACGUAAUGUUCCAGGGGGAGGGGCAGGUAAAAUCACAUCCAGAUGAGAAUUCCUUCACUAUAGGAACUAUAAAUAUAAAAGUAAAAUUACAUACAGUAUAAUAACCAUUAUUCUGUUCAGAAACUAAAACUCCAUUUGUACCCUUCUAGACUCACUUUUUGGAGCCUAGGCCAAACUUUAGAAAUGGGUCUGUUUUUCUGUGAAGAAUAGAUAUUAUAUGUCCAUUUCUUAACUCCUGGAUUAUUACUUUGGCCAAUAUGGCAGCCAGGAACUUGUGUAUCUAUUUAAUUUAAUUAAAAGUAAACUUUCAGUUUAUCAGGCACAUUAGCUGCAUUUCCUGUACUCAGUAACAUAUUAUUAAUGAUUGCCAUAUUAGCAGAAGCGUAAAACAUCAUCUCAGGAAAUUGUGUUUCUCAUCAGUACUUAAGAAAAUUCUUGCUGGGCAUAGUAGUGCGUGCUUUUAAUCCAGCACUAUAAAGGCAGAUCUCUGUAAGUUCAAGGGCAGCCUGGUCUAUGUAACAAGUUCCAGUCAGGACUACACUGAGGGAGCCUGUCAUCAUCCUCUACCUUCAAAAAGAAAGCCAAGAACCUUCCUGGUUUCUUGAUAUGCCAGUCAUGGAGGCAUCCCCCCCCCAACUCCAAAAAGCUAGGAAGGAAAAUAAAUGCAAGGAUAUUUUGAGCAACUCGGCAAGACCCUGUCUUGAAACUAAGUGAAAAGGACGGAGUUAGAGCUCAGUGGGAGGACACGCACCUGUGUGCGCACAGUGCUCAGUGGGAGGACACGCGCCUGUGCAUACACAGCCCUGAGCAACUCCGAAACAGGGGCUUUCCUCAGCUGAGGAGUCAAAACCCAUUUGUUUUUCAGAUCCCAUUACAGAUGGUUGUGAGCUACCAUAUGGUUGCUGGGAACUGAACUCAGGACCUCUGGAAGAGCAGUCAGUGCUCUUAACCGCUAAGCCAUCUCUCCAUCCCCCAAAGCCCAUUUCUUUACUUUCUAGAACAGCCUGGAAUCCUUGAAUCACUAAAGUUCAUAAAUGCAUUACAAUGAUCUAGAAGUAUUUUAGAUUACUUGUUACAUUGUAUAUACACAUGUAAUAUAUAUGUAUCUUUCUAAGAGUUCAUUGCUUUUAUCAGAUUCUCAAAGGGGUCAAUGACUCCAUAAGAAAGUAGAGAUCACCCACUUUAAGAAUUAUUUGAAGGAACCAGAAAGUGGUGGCCCAUACCUUAAAUUCCAGCACUCAGGAGGCAAAGAUAGAUGGGUCUUUGUGAGUUCAAGGCCAAUCUGAUCUAUAUACCAAGUUUCAGUACAGCCAGAGUACCUAGAGAGACCCUGCC
rnacentral:lncRNA from 1 species